rnacentral:lncRNA from 1 species
UUGGAAUCUCUCAGGAUUUCUUCCCAAAGACCUGCCAACUAGACUGACUUCAUUCUUCUUAUUCUUCCUCCUAACAGUUUAACUAGGAGAUCUGAUUUUAACCUAACGAUAGUAAAAGGAUAGGAGCAACUCAAGUGUAAGAAAAGAAAGAAUGACAAAAUUAUGAUAAAAUAUAUAAUAACUAUAAUAGUAAAACAUGCCUCGUUCUAAAUUAGAAGUGAAAAACAGAAUGUCAUAUGCCACUGGCAAAUGCUGACAAACGAUUUUUCUUUGAGAGUACCUUUGAUGGUGGGAUUUCCAGGGAAGUUGAAGACAGGAUUGUUGGUAUGAGGUAGUGAACACAGAAGACCAGGAAGUGAAAAAAGUAUGUCAAUAGAGACAUCAGGUUUCAGUCCCUAUCACCAUAAACGUCAGAGCUAUCAACACAAUCUCUCGUUUUAUUGGAAGCAGAAGCAGAGCUCAUAAGGAGAGCUAAGAAACCGUUAGGUCAGUUCAUCUCCCCAGCAGAAGGAAGCACUUGAACUCUGUCAACCUUGAAAUCUCCAAACCGUCCCAGCU